UAAUUGUUUAUUUGUUUUAUUUGAUUGUUUGUUAUUUUAUUUAAUUGUUAGAAAUGUUUUGGUUAAUUAAUUUAAUAAGUGAUUAAUUGUGUAACAUGUUAUCUUACUAUUAGUGUUACAUUUUAUUUAAGUGUGACAAAUGAGGUAUUUAUGUGAGCUAUGGUGGAAUGAACUAAGGUGCAUGAUAGAUAGUAAUGCACCCUAGUAAUUUAGUGUGUGCUAGUGCAUGGUAGCAUGGUGCACAUGUGUAGAUUUUCUACACAUUUUAGGUUUCCUUAUUUUAGAUUUAAUUGAGUAAUUUAUUUAUAAAAAAAAAAAGAAAAAAAAGAAAAGGGAAAUGAGGAGUGGGCGUGUGACCUAGUGGGAAUGGAAUAUUUCCUUAAAAUGGUAAAAAAAAUAAAGACUUGAAGACCAUGAUCAUUUGGGGAUAGGCAUGAUCAUAUCUUAUCCCUUUGUAUCUUUUUGAAAUAAAGAAAAAUCAAGGAAAAUAAAAGAGAAAUGGAAACUUACCUUAAUAUUGUUUGGGGAGACUUUAUGAGAGGAUUUGUGAUAAAGGGGCUAAGAAAGGAGAGAAGAGCCAUUGCUCUUGUGUGUGUGUGUGGCUGCCGUGACCUAGAGAGAGAGAGAGAGAGAGAGAGUGGCGUGUAGAGAGAGAGAGAGAGAGAGGAAGAAAGAAAGAAAGGAAGAAGGAAGAAGAAAGUGAAGAGGAACCCCCCUAGAGCUUGAACAAGGGUGUGGAGUUUGUGGUAUUGAUCUUUUGUGUUCUUGAUUCUACAAUCAAGAGAGGUAGCAAAUAGGAUUUCUCUAUGGCACGCGUGGUGACGUGAGGAGUUCUUCAUCAUGGGGUGUAUGGCGUGGGGUAAUCCUAUGGACGAUAAAACGAUCGA